rnacentral:rRNA from 1 species
CAGUAGCCACGGUAAUACGGAGGGAGUUAGCGUUGUUCGGAAUUACUGGGCGUAAAGCGCACGUAGGCGGCUUUGUAAGUCAGAGGUGAAAGCCUGGAGCUCAACUCCAGGACUGCCUUUGAGACUGCAUCGCUUGAAUCCAGGAGAGGUGAGUGGAAUUCCGAGUGUAGAGGUGAAAUUCGUAGAUAUUCGGAAGAACACCAGUGGCGAAGGCGGCUCACUGGACUGGUAUUGACGCUGAGGUGCGAAAGCGUGGGGAGCAAACAGGAUUAGAUACCCCGGUAGUCCCUGUCUCUUAUAC